GAGAAAUGUUUGUUAAAUUUAGAUGUCAAUGAAGAGCUUCCAGCCAGAAGAAAACGAAAUCGUGAGGAUGGGGAAAAGACAUUUGUUGCACAAAUGACAGUAUUUGAUAAAAACAGAUGGAAUCUCGCACUGUCUCCCAGGCUGGAGUGCAGUGGUGCGAUCUCUGCUCACUGCAACCUCUGCCUCCAGGCUUCCAGUGAUUCUCCUGCUUCAGCCUCCCGAGUAGCUGGGACUACAGGCGCACCUCACCACACCCAGCUUAUUUUUAGUAGAGACGAGGUUUCACUAUGUUGGCCAGGAUGGUCUCGAUCUCCUGACCUCGUGAUCUGCCCACCUCAGCCUCCCAAAGUGCUGGGAUAAUAUGCAUGACCCACAGUGCCCGGCCUAUGCUUUUUUUCUUUUUUUUGAGAUGGAGUCUCGCUCAGUCACCCAGGCUGGAGUACAGUGGCGCGAUCUCAGCUCACUGUAACCUCCGCCUCCCAGGCUCAAGCAAUUCUCAUGCCUCAGCCUCCUGAGUGGCUGGGAUUAUAGGUGUGUGCCACCACACCCUGCUAUUUUUUUUUUUUUUUUUUUUUUUUUUUUGAGACGGGUCUCGCCCUGUUGCCAGGCUGAAGUGCAAUGGCUCACUGCAACAUUUGCCUCCCGGGUUCAAGUGAUUCUCCUGCCUCACUCUCCCUAGUUGCUGGGAUUACAGGUGUGCGCUACCACAUCCAGCUAAUUUUUCUAUUUUUAGUAAAGAUGGGGUUUCACCAUGUUGGCCAGGGUGGUGUCUUGAUCUCCUAACCUUGUGAUCCACCCACCUCAGCCUCCCGAAGUGCUGGAAUUACAGGCGGGAGCCAUUGCGCCUGGCCUAAUAUUUGUAUUUUUAGUAAAGAUGGGGUUUUACCAGGUUGACCAGGCUGGUCUCGAACUCCUGACCACAAGUGAUCCAACCGCCUCGGCCUCCCAAAGUGCUGGGAUUACAAGCGUGAGCCACUGCGUCCAGUCUCUUGGCCUCUAAAAUUUUUUUUUUUUUUUGAAACGGUGUCUUGCUGUGUCACCCAGGCUGGAGUGCAGUGGCGUGAUCUCGGCUCACUGCAAGCUCCGCCUCCCAAGUUCAUGCCAUUCUCCUGCCUCAGCCUCCCGAGUAGCUGGGACCACAGACACCCACCACCAUGUCCAGCUAAUUUUUUGUAUUUAUAGUAGAGAUGGGGUUUCACCAUGUUAGCCAGGAUGUUCUCGAUCUCCUGACCUCGUGAUCCGCCCGCCUCAGCCUCCCAAAGUGCUGGGAUUACACGUGUGAGCCACCGUGCCUGGCCAGGCCUCUAAAUUUUUAAGAUUUACUUUUUAAUUUUGUGUGUGUGUAUAUAUAUGUGUGUGCGUGUGUGUGUGUGUGUGUGUGUUUGAGACAGAGUUUCGCUCUUGUUGCCCAGGCUGGAGUGCAAUGGCAUGAUCUCAGCUCACUGCAACCUCUGCCUCCUGGGUUCAAGCAAUUCUCCUGCCUCAGCCUCCCAAGUAGCUGGGAUUACAGGCAUAUGUGCCACCAUGCCCAGCAGAUUUUGUAUUUUUAGUAGAGAUGGGGUGUCUCCAUGUUGCUCAGGCUGGUCUCGAACUCCCGACCUCAGGUGAUCCACCUGCCUCGGCCUACCAAAGUGCUGGGAUUACAGGUGUGAGCCACUAUGCCCAGCCUAAGAUUGACUUUUGAGAGAUAUUCUACUUACCUCUACUUACCAAGAGGAAAAGAGAUAUAAACAUAUUAAAUAACAAGCAUUUUAUAUACAUUUCCCAGUUAAUCUACGUAAUAACCCUAUGAAUACAGAUGAGAAAAGUACAGCUACAGGAAAUAAAGAAGCCUUCCCACAGUAACACUGCCUAUAAAUGACGGAAUAAACUCAGGAUGUUUUGAAUUCAAAGCUUAUGUAUGCUCUAUGCACUUCACUCUGCUUCCUGAGGCAGGUGAGAUGUUUAAUAUCUACUUGCCUGAAUGUUAAUGUCUGCCCACAGAAAUAAGUCGGAGCUCUGGAGUAGAGAACACCCGAUGAUUCAGAAUCGUUCCGGAGUGCUAUAUUUCUUCGACUGCUCAGACUGUACCCCUCAAAACCAGCUGUCCACUCUUUUUCAAGGCAAAGAUAUUGAAAACUGUUAGAAUCUCUUGAGGGAUAUCUUCAAUACAGACACGUUAAAUAAAACAUGGAAAUGGGAGACUACUCUUAGGGGCCAUGGUCAAGUUCAGUAAAAUAAAAGAUUCCAUUAACAGGGUAUCAUGAUCAGUCCCACAAAUUACAAAAAAGAUUUUAGUAUAUUCCUGCAUAAUUUUGACAUAAUAAAUCAAACAAGUGUUAUCUCUUAUCUAAUAAAAUCAUGGUACAAGCAUAAUUGCUUGAACUUAUUCCAACCUGAUAAAAAUCUAAUUAAUAAAUGAGUCUACAUCUUCUAAAAAAGAAUGCAGGGG
rnacentral:lncRNA from 1 species